GGGGCUGAUCGGUUUCGACGUUGAGACGAGAAGUCGUGUGUGCGACCCGAGUUGCUCAGACUCGUUAAACGGGGCUCAACAGAAGCGCCAACAAGGCUGACUUCGCUCUCGCCGCCUAAUUUCUUAGGUAGCUAGAGGAACAUCGCGAGCCGUGAGGCCACGCGGGGCCAGAUCACUGCAGCCCGGCAACAGAAGCAGUGAUGGACGAUGGGAGAGACCAUUGACGGCAGGCAAAGACCGCUGACUCCUGGGAAAGACCAGGCGGACGAACCGCAAGGUUCACGUUGACCCGGCAACCAGGCAGCCGUACAGCCUGAAUCGCGGGAAUGGUCGUAGCGUGUGCGGUGACUCCUCAGCGGACGGGGGUUCGAUUCCCCCCAGCUCCACCG
rnacentral:tmRNA from 1 species